GCCCGGGUGGUGGAACCGGUAGACACAAGGGACUUAAAAUCCCUCGGGUUAUCCCGUGCGGGUUCGACUCCCGCCCCGGGCACCA
rnacentral:tRNA from 4 species